CUACGCUCUUCUCUCCCGCCCCUACUUUGCAGCUCCUCGCUUUUCGUGGGAGAAAAAAACCGCCUCAUCAAAAAAGAAGUUUAAAACAAACAAUAUUUCAUCUGGAGGUUGAUGUAGAAGGCUUGCUUGGCUCCAGGAAGACUUUGGGGAAAUGCAUCAUGAAAGGAAGAGUCGAUUCUGCAAACUUCACUGUUGUCUUAUUUUAAGAAACUGCCACAGCCACCCCAACCUUCAGCAAUCACCACCCUGAUCAGUCAGCAGCCAUCAUCAUUAAGGAAAGACACUACACCAGCAAAAAGAGUAUGACUCAGGAUGGUCCUCCAUGUCUGGAAUGCAUGCUGUCUUUCCUUGCCUCUGUAUCCUGGCUUCCUUCAAGUCCCGGGUAAAACUCCUGCAAGAAAUGCAGUGUGAAUUUGAAAAAUAUGGCAAUUUUUGCAAGAAACCUUUCCCAGUUCCCCAUAAUGUUAAUGCUUUUCUUCUGAGAUUAUCUCCAAUUUAUCUUGUUCACAUAGUUGUUUGCAUGUUGUCUCCUCCAGUAGACUGUGAAUGUCCUGAAAGCAGGGAGUAUUUUUGCUUUUCUUUGUAUCCUAAAUACUUAGUCCAUUGACUGGUAUAUAGUUAGCACUUAAAUUCGUGUUGACUUUUUGGGAUCUUUCUUAAUGUCUCUAGGCCUUAUAUUUAAGACAAAGGAUUGGAUUACAUGACUUGCAAGGUCCCUUCCAACCAGUAGUAUACUCUUAAAUGUUUAAAAAUUGACUCUCCAAAAAUUGUAUGUAUGAUAUGCUUUUAUGUUUAAUCUGAAUUAUUAACAUUUUUCUUCCCACUUCCUUAAGGAUAGAUUAUUAGCAAAAUAAUAAACUAGCUUUGGAGCCUGUUUGAGCUGACUCCAGAACACUACUGCUUCCAACUCUAAGAGUCUAUGAGCGUGUAUAAUGGAAAUGGAACUAGAUUUGUAGAUUGAAAAGAAGCCAAA